rnacentral:lncRNA from 10 species
UAAAGCCACCUCUGUCUGGAAGGUUCUCACGGGGAGAGAGCUGGUCCUACCACGGGAGCUCCAGAGCAGAGAAUAGCAGUUCCAUGAAGCUGAAGGCCUCUCCACUGAACGCUGAAACCUCACCUUCACUGGCUGCUUUAUAAUUAGCAUUUAUAGGUCACCGUGGCUAUGAUGGCUUCUGCAAUUUUUCAGGAACUUUGGCCAGCUCCUGUGCAGUUCAAACUUGUUGGUACCACUGAUCCUUCAACUGAGCCUGCAUACAUGCCCAGUAGGUGCCUUUUGACAUCAGAGGGCCAAAAACCCCACCCUCAGAUGAUGCAAAUGUCACCAUUUUCUGUACACACAUCCUAUGAAAUGCCAUGAAUUCCAGCUAUGCUUGUGCAGAACGAACCUGUUACUUGGUUGUUCCCCACUGCCAAUCACCUUCCCCACACCUUAGACCAUCCACUUCCCUAAUCUAUGAAUAUUCCUAAGGCUUAUCUUCAGGGAGGCAGAUUUGGGAGCUGUUCUCCUUCCUCCUCACUCUGUGCCCUGGCAAAUAAAUCUUUUCUCUUUUGCAAAA